UACGGGGGGGGCAAGCGUUGUUCGGAAUUACUGGGCGUAAAGGGUUCGUAGGUGGCCAACUAAGUCAGACGUGAAAUCCCUCAGCUUAACUGGGGAACUGCGUCUGAUACUGGUUGGCUUGAGUGCAGGAGAGGAAUGCGGAAUUCCAGGUGUAGCGGUGAAAUGCGUAGAUAUCAGGAGGAACACCGAUGGCGAAGGCAGGUCUCUGGGCUGACACUGACGCUCAUGCACGAAAGCGUGGGGAGCAAACAGG
rnacentral:rRNA from 1 species